rnacentral:rRNA from 1 species
AGUGAACGCUGGCGGUAGGCCUAACACAUGCAAGUCGAACGGCAGCACAGUAAGAGCUUGCUCUUACGGGUGGCGGGUGGCGGACGGGUGAGGAAUACAUCGGAAUCUACUUUUUCGUGGGGGAUAACGUAGGGAAACGUACGCUAAUACCGCAUACGACCUACGGGUGAAAGCAGGGGAUCUUCGGACCUUGCGCGAUUGAAUGAGCCGAUGUCGGAUUAGCUAGUUGGCGGGGUAAAGGCCCACCAAGGCGACGAUCCGUAGCUGGUCUGAGAGGAUGAUCAGCCACACUGUAACUGAGACACGGUCCAGACUCCUACGGGAGGCAGCAGUGGGGAAUAUUGGACAAUGGGCGCAAGCCUGAUCCAGCCAUACCGCGUGGGUGAAGAAGGCCUUCGGGUUGUAAAGCCCUUUUGUUGGGAAAGAAAAGCAGCAGGUUAAUACCCCGCUGUUCUGGCGGUACCCAAAGAAUAAGCACCGGCUAACUUCGUG